rnacentral:lncRNA from 1 species
CAACCCAGCAAUUCUUCUGGCAAUACAUCUGGGAAUUCACAAACUACCAAAAUUGAUUCAAGCGACUUAGACAUCUCGAUAUUCAAUACAUAUGCAAGAUAAGAUUCAAACCCUUUUCUCAUGUAUCUCUGAGCAGACAUGUGCGAAAUCACCAUAGGCAAUUUAUUUGAUUCAUCUGUUUCAACCCAAAAAAUCUCACUAUUUUCACAUUUCAACUCAAGGGUUUUUUGUCUACAGUUUACCUUAGC